CCGCCGCUCGUCGUCUGGACGUUUGCGACAGCCACGUCUCCUGCUUCAGGGCUUCUGAUGGGCGCUCUCAGGGGUCAGGUCGCUCUGUUGCAGGGUUUUCUCCUCGGCGGCGAUGGUGCAGGAGGGACAGACCUAGCGCCCGCUGCCAUGGUGCGGGCCGCUCCCAUCUGUGGGAGCGGGGAACCGAUACUUUUACGGAGCAGCCGUGCUUCGGCUUUCUCAGCUUCCUACACAGAAAUGGAAAGGGAUGCCCAGCACCCCCCUCACCUCCCUGCGCAGGGUGGACGUGAGAGGUUUCCUGUUAAAUACAUUAGUGCAUCUCCACCUGAUGAAGAUGGGGCUGAGCUGCCUCCAGAUCUACAUCUGGAGAUGUAAAUCAAGCGACUCCAGCAUUGCUGCUGGCGUUCCAGAAACCAGAUUGAGUGUUCCUUUGUACAAAACACCCUAUACGAGCAAAUCUUAGCAAUAGGCUUCACACCUAGCACACACACAGGUGUUCAGCUGCGGUUCGGGUGGGUGAGCUCUGGAGUGGGAGGAAGAAGCCUGUAUCAAAUUGCCUAGAGCAGCAGAAUGAAAUAUGCCCAGCAGCUAACUAAUAUCAGAAACAUGUCAUAGCUGGCCUAUUUCCAGAGGGGUGGGAAAAACAGCAGCUGCCCUGACGAGUUCACGGAGAGCCUGCCAUUACUGGGCAGCAUCUGUCAAGGGACUGUUAAACCACAGGAGUGUUUCAGGAUCUGCUUUUAUUUUAGUUAUCUAAGAUAUUUCUCGUUAAUGACUGAUAUUAAUGUUGGCUAUUAAAAGGAACAUCCAACAUCAUCUUUCUGAUUAUGUGCAAAAGUUGUUGGCAUGAGUUCUGUGAAAUUUCUCCCGAGAGGACAAAAGCAUCAGCCCUUCUUUGCCCUUCUGGGUGAGCAAGUUCUUUGUUCUUCCUGCCAACCAGCACAUUUCUAGAUCCAAAGCAUUCCUGAUCCUGCUGGCACCCCAUUAUGGAGGGAAGCACAGAUUUACAAAAGCAGAAAAAUUUGCUGAUAUUACAGGAAGCUGGUUAGCUGAGAUCAGCAGCAGAUUUAGUAGAUGACCAGUUUUUUUGUGUUUGUUCAUACGGGAGCCAUCAAUGUUUCCACGGCAGGGCAAAGGGAAGGGAUUUGGAGGAAUCUGGAAGCUGCACAUUUUCUGCCUAGAUGAUGCAAAAGGCUGGAGAGCCAAUGCUGUGAUUCUCUGGUACGCACAGCUUUUGGAAGCUUUGCCAUUGCUGUUGGGUGACUCAGAGGGAAUCAGCGUAAUUUAUCCGUGUCUUUUCAGAAGACAAGCCUCCUAAAAAAGCAAAGAGCAGAAUGAUUUUUCAACAGAUUAACAACAGAGACCAGCAGGACUCCCUUUUGACCCAAAAUUUGCCUGUGCAGACAGAAUGAACAAACACGAAGAAUUCAAGGCAUAUUAAACUGAUCCUGAGAUAAACACUGACAUUUUUAAUCAAGAGGAAAAUCAGAAAGGAAUAUCACAUUAAAUGUUAAUAGCAUUCACGAAAAUGUGAAUUUAGCCUGCAGAGAAAUCUCUCCACUUUGACUAGUGAUUUAAACAGCACAGCGUUAUUUUUCCAGCCUAAUGUUUCAAAUGGGAGAGCAAGCCAGAUGUACCAAAACAUGAAAAAAGAGACAUACCCUUCCUAGAAGAGGUAUUUUUUGUUGCAAAAUACCGUCUUAAAUAAUGAUAUUCCUGUUCUCAGUCUUGUUGACUUUUGCAAAAAUUAGUCAUCAAAGUGAAUCCAAGUGGCGGCAGUCUUCUUAGAUUUUGGAAAGCAGUGUGUAUCUGCCUACUUGUUUCAAGACUGGAUUACUCUACCAAGAUUUAUCUCCCUGCUCAGCUAAUAAACUACAAUGUACUUACCGAAAUGAAAACAAGGAAAACCUCUGGAGCUGAAGGUAACUUCCUUUUUCAUGUAGAUCUUUGGCACUGGAAGCUUCUUAGGAAAAAUCCUUUCACGCUCUUUGGGGGAGUUUUGGAGAAAUUGGAAAUUUUAGUCUUUAUUCAGUAGAGCAAGGAAUGGUCAUUGACACAAGUACUACAGAACACUCUCAAAAUGUCAGCCAUCCUCAGAAGCGCUGAGUGCAGGCAACGCCAUGCUCUAAGCUGACAUGUGUGGCAUUUACCAGCCUUCAUUUGCAAACACACCCAUCCAUGAAGAAUUAUCUCAGUGGUUCUGGUUCAGCACAAAAGUACACAAGGAGACACGUGACAGUGUCUGUCACAACGCAGCAAAGGAGGUGCGCUAGGCUCUACACAUACCUAGAGACACAUGGAAAUCCUGCCCAAAGGGAUUUACUGAGUGCCAGUGUGCUGCCAAGACCCAGCUAGCCCAGGGGCCUGCCGAAACUUAAACAAGGAUUAUCUUAACAUGGCAGAAAACACACAAGAGCAGAUUCCUCUGACAAAGCAGCAUAUCAUUUGCUGAGGAGCUGGCACGGGCUUAUUGCUGCCUGACCUGAAGCAUGGCCCCAUCCCAAUGGCCCAUGCCCUUGGGGACACCCAAGGCUUUGAGUAGCCCAAGCUCCCACUUCCCCAGUGGGAGGGCACCCACCGCCCUCCCAGCAGCACAGGUCUGAGCUUUCUCCUCUCCCUGCUCUCCAGAGAACUUGCUCUCCAGGCAUGGGAGAUCUGUGGGGCAUGGCAAGGAUGGGGAGGAAAGCACACCUUAAAUCUAGAGCCCUUCCCAAAAGACACUGGUUUACUUGGAACCUGUCCUGACACAAAGGUUCAAGUCUCAGCAAUGCAACUACCAGGAAGGUAUUUUUCUUUAGGUUUAAAACAGCUCUUUCCAAGCUCAGAGUGACUCACGAGGCAAUGUGACCAGAAAAGGUGAUGACUUUUCAAACAGCAAAAGGUAGAAAACCAGGAGUUUGUUUUAACAAACAGCAGCUCUGUUCUGGCUGCUCAUCAGCGUUCACAACUGUGACAUCUGCUGCAAGCAUGCAGCAUCCCUGUUGCCAUCUGAGGGGUUCUACUAGCGUUCAUUAGACACUGGCACGUGUCACCCAAACCUCUGCACGUAAGGACACCGCAAAGCCCAGGAUGACCAACCUUCAGCCCAUCUCCUUUUGCUGUACGCAUCAUGCUGAAGCAGUCACCUCAGAUCUCUGGUCCCUGCAAAAGCAAAGCGGGAUGAAGACCUGUUAUGAAAACCAGAUUAUUCCCUUCACUUUGCAGUGAGCAUUGCUGAGAGGUACUUUUCCUCCAUGCUGCUAACGGGGCAUGUUCCCUUCAGCACUUUUAUCAACAGAGUCUCUUCCAGAAACUUGGAAAACCAGCAGCUUCUGUGUGACAGACUCCACCAAAAUUAAUGUGACUGAUGGCUUACUUAACAUCCGAUGCUACAGGAGUCUCAGGGAGCACAGGAGUGGACAGAUGUCCUCACUGAAACAUCCACAUGCAGCAAACUCCUAGGAAUACACAGGCAUUAAGGGCAUUCUGGGAGAUGGGCUACACAUGGGAAAUGCUUGCUAAAGUCAAGCAACUUGUUUUGGCUAACAUGUUCUCUCUUUCCUCUCUUUUUUUUGUUUUUGUCAGUGCUUACAUGAAACUGUGCUAGCAAGAAAGCAAGGGAACCCUGCAGCAGGACCAGGACUUUGGCCCAGGAUGCACUGGGAGCUUGUUUGUACUGUAGCUUCAGCCUCAGUCAGAGGGGAAGGCUGGGUGACACCAAAGGCAGGCAAUUGGUGCUGGCAGGAAGUCUUGCUGUCAGGAACGGGAAAGUGGAGGAGACAUAUGGGAUUCCUCGUGUUGCUCAGUUGUUUUCUAAGGAAUGAACAGGUUAAUCUACUUUCAGUACACACCUAAGUGCAGGACAUACUUGCAGCCCCCACAAAACAUUUCUAAAUGGCUGCAGAGGACUAGCUGUGUUGCUAGACACUCCCUGAGUAAAAAGGAAGAAGAAAUGAGGAAGACCAGCAGGAAACAACAAGGCAGCAAUCCAAUCAGAUAACCUGCUGACAGAAGGCUGUAUCGCUGAGGCUUGCAAAUCAGCUGGCACUGUUUCAGUACAGACUAGGCAUCAGGUAGCAGAGCUCACACGCCAAGGCUGCUGCCUCCCAAGCAGGUCAUGGUAGCCAUUCAAGUAUCUCAGCAAUCACUCCUGGGCAGAUUAUAAGGGAAGAAGAGAUGUGAAGUGCAUGCUAGGCCAGGAAUGACUGCCCACCAUGACUCCCCUCCUCUUCACAAGUCCUCCUGGGUCACAUGGCACAAGCUGACAAAAGUGUCAUUCAGAUCUUCAAGUAUUAAAGUCUGUUCUAGGAAUAACACCAGACCCUGAAUAUCGAUUUGUGUAAAGGAUGCAAGACUGAAUGAGAUAAGGGCAAACUCAGACACUUCAGUGGAAGAGUUGCCUUAAGAACUCCAUUUAUACUUAAGAUGGAAAGUAAGUGAAUUUUUGGAUCCCAAGAUGAACAACCAAAAGCUGUGGGGAGCUACAGUUCCUAUGUACUAUCACCUAUGCAGAAUCCUGCUCUACCCAAUGGAAAGUCCUUUCAGAAAUCUGCCCUCAAAAAUCCUCACAAGACAAGGGUGGAAAUUCUUCUGAACAGGACUGUCAGACCCCUGACUAAGGAGGGACAGAGAAAACAGAAUUUGGUCUGAACUCACCCUGCAAGCAGCUAAAAAACCAAAGGUGCUGGAGAAAGAACUAAGCUUGAAGCUUUUUCAAGCUUAUCUGGAAGGAAGCUUGAUAUUUAAAUGGAAACAUCAGUCUUCACAGUCCAAACAUACAGAAGGAUGCGAUGUAGUUUAUUUUUGGGCAAAAUGUUGGCACUAAUAAAUUUCUGGAAAAUAUGGUAAAACCAAGAAA